rnacentral:rRNA from 1 species
UUAAGCAGGCGGUGGUCCCACCUGACCCCAUGCCGAACUCAGAAGUGAAACGCCGUAGCGCCGAUGGUAGUGUGGGGUCUCCCCAUGCGAGAGUAGGGAAC